rnacentral:rRNA from 1 species
CCAAUAGCGUAUAUUAAAGUUGUUGCAGUUAAAAAGCUCGUAGUUGAAUUUCGGGGUUAGUAGGCUGGUCGUGCCACAGGUAUGCACUGGUCUUACUGACUUCUCCUUUCUGAAGAACUGUAAUGCCAUUAAUUUGGUGUUGCAGGGAAACAGGACUGUUACUUUGAAAAAAUUAGAGUGUUUAAAGCAGGCUAACGCUUGAAUACAUUAGCAUGGAAUAAUGAAAUAGGACGUUCGAUCCUAUUUUGUUGGUUUCUAGGAUUGACGUAAUGAUUAAUAGGGAUAGUUGGGGGCAUUAGUAUUCAAUUGUCAGAGGUGAAAUUCUUGGAUUUAUUGAAGACUAACUACUGCGAAAGCAUUUGCCAAGGAUGUUUUCAUUAAUCAAGAACGAAAGUUAGGGGAUCGAAGACGAUCAGAUACCGUCGUAGUCUUAACCAUAAACUAUGCCGACUAGGGAUCGGACGAUGUUAAUUUUUUAAUGACUCAUUCGGCGCCUUACG